CGCCGCCUGGAGCGCAGACUGGAGCAGGAGAUGGGGCGGGCUGGAGACCCUGGGGCCGCCCCACCACCACCUUGGUCCUGCUCUGGAUUCCAGAUCCCCUGAUCUCUGUUCUGUGCUCGCAGAGGUACACCUUGGCAUGGGAUGUGAGCACAAGGGCACGGGGCAUGCAUGCCUCAGCUGCACCUUCCUCAUUGUCUGGAAGGCCAGGCAUGAGGGGAGAAGCCCAGACAUCCUUCAAUCACACUCAUUCCUUUUACCUGUUCUUCCUUUGCUUGAGGGCCUAAGGCCAGAAGAUGGGUCCUUAGCUGGCCAUUGCUGGACAUCACUCAGGGCUCCAAUACAAUUUGUGCCCUGCCCAAAGGACCUUGCAAGGGGCUGGAAUUCAUUGUCCAUCAAGCCAGUCAUGUCCUGAGUCCAUCCUAAAGAAUCAGCCUGCACAAAGGUGUGGAAAGACACAUCAGUACUGGAACCCAGGAAGGUUUCCAGCUCCUGCUUGAUGAAUGGGGUGCCUGAGCCCCAAGGGCAACAGAUCUAGUGAAAGAACUCACAGGUGGCUUUCUUACCAAGUUGGGCUCUGUACCCCGCAUCCUGGUUCCCAGGAGCCUUGGAAAUCCCUGAUGCUACCUCUGAAGAUGCCUGGAAUAGAAGAGGGGAGAGAGCCAUCUUUGCAGACAUUGGCAGCUCCUCAAACCUUGGCCUGCACCUUCUCUGUCCCCUACUUGGCAAUGGUGCCUAUCUCCACUGGAUGCUGCCUGAGAACAGGGUCUUUGAUCAUUGCUCCAACUCCAGCACUGAGGGUGUCCACAGAGCGUUUGUUGGGCCAAUGAAUGAAUUCCACCACCUCCAUCACACUCUUCAGAAACUGCAAAGUAAAGAAUAAAAAUGUAGCAUCUUCCUCCCUAUCGUCUCUCUUGUCACCCUGUUCCAUAGCCACAAACUCCAUUUCUGACACCAAAGCUCUUCUGUAAUCCAACAACCAA